AUUGAACGCUAGCGGGAUGCUUUACACAUGCAAGUCGAACGAGUGGCGGACGGGUGAGUAAUAUAUCGGAACGUGCCCAGUAGCGGGGGAUAACUACUCGAAAGCGUGGCUAAUACCGCAUACUAUUUGAGCGGCCUAUAUCGGAUUAGCUUGUUGGUAGGGUAAGGGCUCACCCAGGCAACGAUCCUUAGCUGGUUUGAGAGGAAGACCAGCCACACUGGGACUGAGACACGGCCCAGACUCCUACGGGAGGCAGCAGUGGGGAAUUUUGGACAAUGGGGGAAACCCUGAUCCAGCCAUCCCGCGUGUAUGAGAAGGCCUUCGGGUUGUAAAGUACUUUUGGAAGGGAAGCGGUAUCUGCAGAAUAAGCACCGGCUAACUACGUGCCAGCCGCCGCGGUAAUAC
rnacentral:rRNA from 1 species